AAUGUACAUAUUUUCUUGAUUUAACAGAUUUAAUUAAGAGCUUUUCUUCUGAAAACCUACAACACGUGUAAUUCGAUAAUUUGAUAGUCGGAUUACAGCGCUCAACAACACCAAUUCUAUUUCAUCAUCUAUCUACAACCUACGCCUUUGAUACAGAUCUCAACGACAAUUGGAUUUGAUUUUAUCAAAGCCAUGCAAAAACCAAACAUUUCAAGUAUUUGUUAUAAAUGUUUUCUUAUACUACGAAUUGUCCUUUAAUCCUUUUAUAUUAUUGUUGAGUAAAUGUUUUUUUUUAACCCACCUUUAAAAUACUUUUUCUUUACAUGUUUCUCUCUGUCUGUCCCUAUGUGGCUCUCUGUUUCCCUGUUGUCCGCUCUUUCUUUUUAUUUUUUCUCUCGUUAGGUUUAACAGAG